rnacentral:rRNA from 1 species
UACGUAGGGACCAAGCGUUGUUCGGAUUUACUGGGCGUAAAGGGAGCGUAGGCGGAUAGUUUAGUCAGAGGUGAAAGCCCAGGGCUCAACCUUGGAAUUGCCUUUGAUACUGGCUAUCUUGAGUACGGAAGAGGUAUGUGGAACUCCGAGUGUAGAGGUGAAAUUCGUAGAUAUUCGGAAGAACACCAGUGGCGAAGGCGACAUACUGGUCCGUUACUGACGCUGAGGCUCGAAAGCGUGGGGAGCAAACAGG